GGUUACCUUGUUCCGACUUCACCCCAGUCAUGAAACACAAAGUGGUAAUCGUCCUCCCGAAGGUUAGACUAACUACUUCUUUUGCAUCCCACUCCCAUGGUGUGACGGGCGGUGUGUACAAGGCCCGGGGAACGUAUUCACCGCAGUAUUCUGACCUGCGAUUACUAGCGAUUCCGACUUCAUGGAGUCGAGUUGCAGACUCCAAUCCGGACUACGACAUUCUUUAAGGGGUCCGCUCCACAUCACUGUCUCGCUUCCCUCUGUAAAUGCCAUUGUAGCACGUGUGUAGCCCUACACGUAAGGGCCAUGAUGACUUGACGUCGUCCCUCCUUCCUCCGGUUUGUCACCGGCAGUCUCCUUAUAGUGCCCAACUGAAUUCUGCAACUAAGGACAAGGUUC
rnacentral:rRNA from 1 species